rnacentral:tRNA from 1 species
UCCCUGGUGGUCCAGUGAUUAGGUCUUGGCACUUUCACUGCUACAGUCUGGGUUUGAUCCCUGGUCAGAGAA